CCCCUUCCGGGAUCGCAUCUAGAGAGUUUCCAGUCCUCUACCAGUCUCGGCUGUGGGAGGGAGAGUCAAGCAGAGGCCCUGCCCGUUCCAUUCCUAGCUUGGGCGGUGGCUAGCGCGUGGAAGGCCCUCCGCUACAAGU